rnacentral:rRNA from 1 species
CGUCAGCUCGUGUCGUGAGAUGUUGGGUUAAGUCCCGCAACGAGCGCAACCCUCGCCUUUAGUUGCCAUCAUUCAGUUGGGCACUCUAAAGGGACUGCCGGUGAUAAGCCGCGAGGAAGGUGGGGAUGACGUCAAGUCCUCAUGGCCCUUACAGGCUGGGCUACACACGUGCUACAAUGGUGGUGACAGUGGGACGCAAAGGCGCGAGCCUGAGCAAAUCUCAAAAAGCCAUCUCAGUUCGGAUUGCACUCUGCAACUCGAGUGCAUGAAGGUGGAAUCGCUAGUAAUCGUGGAUCAGCAUGCCACGGUGAAUACGUUCCCGGGCAUUGUACACACCGCCCGUCACACCAUGGGAGUUGUUUUACCCGAAGGCGUUUCGCUAACC